rnacentral:rRNA from 1 species
AACGAACGCUGGCGGCAUGCCUAACACAUGCAAGUCGAACGAGACCUUCGGGCCUAGUGGCGCACGGGUGCGUAACGCGUGGGAAUCUGCCCUCUGGUACGGAAUAACUCAGGGAAACUUGAGCUAAUACCGUAUAAUGACUUCGGUCCAAAGAUUUAUCGCCUGAGGAUGAGCCCGCGUAGGAUUAGCUUGUUGGUGAGGUAAAAGCUCACCAAGGCGACGAUCCUUAGCUGGUCUGAGAGGAUGAUCAGCCACACUGGGACUGAGACACGGCCCAGACUCCUACGGGAGGCAGCAGUGGGGAAUAUUGGACAAUGGGCGAAAGCCUGAUCCAGCAAUGCCGCGUGAGUGAUGAAGGCCUUAGGGUUGUAAAGCUCUUUUACCCGGGGAUGAUAAUGACAGUACCGGGAGAAUAAGCCCCGGCUAACUCCGUGCCAGCAGCCGCGGU